rnacentral:rRNA from 1 species
GGGUUGUGAGGUUAAGCGACUAAGCGUACACGGUGGAUGCCCUGGCAGUCAGAGGCGAUGAAGGACGUGCUAAUCUGCGAUAAGCGUCGGUAAGGUGAUAUGAACCGUUAUAACCGGCGAUUUCCGAAUGGGGAAACCCAGUGUGAUUCGUCACACUAUCAUUAACUGAAUCCAUAGGUUAAUGAGGCGAACCGGGGGAACUGAAACAUCUAAGUACCCCGAGGAAAAGAAAUCAACCGAGAUUCCCCCAGUAGCGGCGAGCGAACGGGGAGGAGCCCAGAGCCUGAAUCAGUGUGUGUGUUAGUGGAAGCGUUUGGAAAGGCGCGCGAUACAGGGUGACAGCCCCGUACACAAAAAUGCACAUGCUGUGAGCUCGAUGAGUAGGGCGGGACACGUGGUAUCCUGUCUGAAUAUGGGGGGACCAUCCUCCAAGGCUAAAUACUCCUGACUGACCGAUAGUGAACCAGUACCGUGAGGGAAAGGCGAAAAGAACCCCGGCGAGGGGAGUGAAAAAGAACCUGAAACCGUGUACGUACAAGCAGUGGGAGCACAGAGCAAUCUGUGUGACUGCGUACCUUUUGUAUAAUGGGUCAGCGACUUAUAUUCUGUAGCAAGGUUAACCGAAUAGGGGAGCCGAAGGGAAACCGAGUCUUAACCGGGCGUUAAGUUGCAGGGUAUAGACCCGAAACCCGGUGAUCUAGCCAUGGGCAGGUUGAAGGUUGGGUAACACUAACUGGAGGACCGAACCGACUAAUGUUGAAAAAUUAGCGGAUGACUUGUGGCUGGGGGUGAAAGGCCAAUCAAACCGGGAGAUAGCUGGUUCUCCCCGAAAGCUAUUUAGGUAGCGCCUCGUGAAUUCAUCUCCGGGGGUAGAGCACUGUUUCGGCAAGGGGGUCAUCCCGACUUACCAACCCGAUGCAAACUGCGAAUACCGGAGAAUGUUAUCACGGGAGACACACGGCGGGUGCUAACGUCCGUCGUGAAGAGGGAAACAACCCAGACCGCCAGCUAAGGUCCCAAAGUCAUGGUUAAGUGGGAAACGAUGUGGGAAGGCCCAGACAGCCAGGAUGUUGGCUUAGAAGCAGCCAUCAUUUAAAGAAAGCGUAAUAGCUCACUGGUCGAGUCGGCCUGCGCGGAAGAUGUAACGGGGCUAAACCAUGCACCGAAGCUGCGGCAGCGACACUGUGUGUUGUUGGGUAGGGGAGCGU